rnacentral:lncRNA from 1 species
GUUGUUAGAUGAAUAAUCGACCGAAAAGAAAGGCAUCGGUACCAGGACUAGGUAUGCAAAGAUGACCAAUCCAAAGAGGAUAAAGUUGCUUACUCGGAGCAAGUAUCCAAAAAGAAGGUGAAAACCCAAUGGGGACAAUACUGCUUGAUCAAGGCGAGUAUCCAAAGGGGACAAGACCAUUAAUACCACAAAGAGGGGAUUACAUCUACCGGUUUGUAGGCAGAAAACCACAGAAAAGGUAACCAGUCAUCAUCGG